GCCUGGGUGGCUCAGUCGGUUGAGCAUCUGACUUCGGCUCAGCUCAUGAUCUCAUCGUGAGUUUGAGCCCCACGUCGGGCU
rnacentral:tRNA from 1 species